rnacentral:snRNA from 1 species
AUACUUACUUGGCAGGGGAGAUUCCAUAGUCAUGAAGGUGGUUUUCCCAGGGCGGGGCUUAUUUGGUUGCACUCCCAUGUACUGAUCCUUGUGGAUUCCCCAAAUGUAGGAAACUCAGUUGCAUAAUUUAUGUCGAGGAGGACUGCAUUCACCUUUUCCCCU